rnacentral:rRNA from 1 species
AUUGGACAAUUGAGGCAACUCUGAUCAAGCCAUGCCGCGUGAAGGAAUAAGGCCCUAUGGGUUGUAAACUUCUUUUAGACGGGACAAAACCCCUUUACGUGUAAAGGGUUGAUGGUACUGUCAGAAUAAGCAUCGGCUAACUUCGUGCCAGCAGCCGCGGUAAUACGAAGGAUGCAAGCGUUAUCCGGAAUUAUUGGGUUUAAAGGGUGCGUAGGCGGACUAAUAAGUCAGUGGUGAAAGCCUGCAGCUUAACUGCAGAAUUGCCAUUGAUACUGUUAGUCUUGAGUACAGUUGAGGUAGGCGGAAUGUGUGAUGUAGCGGGAAAAUGCUUAGAUAUGACACAGAACACCGAUUGCGAAGGCAGCUUGCUAAGCUGUAACUGACUCUGAGGCACGAAAGCGUGG